GCUUGAGUAGCUCAGCUGGUUGAGCAUCUGACUCUUGAUUUGGGCUCAAGUCAUGAACUCACAGUUCAUGGGUUCGAGCCCCACAUCAGGCU
rnacentral:tRNA from 1 species